CGUGUAGGCGGUGUGGUAAGUUGGGCGUGAAAUCCCCGGGCUUAACCCGGGGGGGCCGUUCAAGACUGCCAUGCUAGGGUGCGGGAGAGGGCAGUGGAAUUCCCGGUGUAGCGGUGAAAUGCGUAGAUAUCAGGAGGAACACCUGCGGCGAAAGCGGCUGCCUGGACCGUAACCGACGCUGAGGCGCGAAAGCUAGGGGAGCAAACA
rnacentral:rRNA from 1 species